rnacentral:rRNA from 1 species
GAACGAGACCCUCAUCCCUAUUUGCCAACCGCGUCCCCGGACGCGGCGCACUAUAGGGAGACCGCUGGCGCGAAGUCAGAGGAAGGCGAGGGCAACGGUAGGUCAGUAUGCUCCGAAUGCUAUGGGCUACACGCGCAAUACAAAGGACGGGACAAUGGGCUGCAACUCCGAGAGGAUAGACGCUAUCCCGAAACCCGUUCGUAGUUCGGAUUGAGGGCUGUAACUCGCCCUCAUGAAGCUGGAUUAGGUAGUAAUCGCGUCUCAAUAGGGCGCGGUGAAUAUGCCCCUGCUCCUUGCACACACCGCCCGUCAAACCAUCUUAGUUGGGGGUGGGUGAGGCUACCUUAACCAUGGGGUAUUCGAGCCUGCCUUCGACAAGGAGGGUUAAGUCGUAACAAGGUAUCUGUAGGGGAACCUGCAGAUGGAUCACCUCCU